AGCGUUCAAAAAUUGAGAACAAAACCAUCUAUUCACAGUGGUGACAGAUUAGAAUCAUCAGGUUUCAAAAGCACAAAGAAGAUUGCAAUACCCUCACGGAAACUAAAUCAAACAAAACAACAUGUGGUGAAGCGUAGGCAUGGUUAUAACUAUCCUCUAACAAAUGAGA